rnacentral:rRNA from 1 species
CCUACGGGUGGCAGCAGUGAGGAAUAUUGGUCAAUGGACGGGAGACUGAACCAGCCAAGUAGCGUGAAGGAGGACUGUCCUAUGUAUUGUAAACUUCUUUUAUCUGGGAAUAAAACGUUCCACGCGUGGGCUUUUGUAUGUACCAUAUGAAUAAGGAUCGGCUAACUCCGUGCCAGCAGCCGCGGUAAUACGGCGGAUCCGAGCGUUAUCCGGCUUUAUUGGGUUUAAAGGGAGCUUAGGUGGAUUUUUAAGGCAGUUGUGAAAGUGUGCGGCUCAACCGUAAAAUUGCAGGUGAAACUGGCAGUCUUGAGUACAGUAGAGGUGGGCGGAAUUCGUGGUGUAGCGGUGAAAUGCUUAGAUAUCGCGCAGAACUCCGAUUGCGAAGGCAGUUCACUGGACUGAAACUGACACUGAGGCACGAAAGUGUGGGUAUCAAACAGGAGUAGAUACCCUGGUAGUC